AUUGAACGCUGGCGGCAGGCCUAACACAUGCAAGUCGAACGAGUGGCGGACGGGUGAGUAAUGUCUGGGAAACUGCCUGAUGGAGGGGGAUAACUACUGGAAACGGUAGCUCAUACCGCAUACCAUCAGAUCUUCCCAGAUGGGAUUAGCUAGUUGGUGGGGUAACGGCUCACCAAGGCGACGAUCCCUCGCUGGUAUUAUAGGAUGACCAGCCACACUGGAACUGAGACACGGUCCAGACUCCUACGGGAGGCAGCAGGGGGGAAUAGUGCAAAAUGGGCGUAAGCCUGAUGCAGCCAUGCCGCGUGUAGGAAGAAGGCCGUCGGGUUGUAAAGUACGUUCAGCGGGGAGGCGUUACCCGCAGAAGAAGCACCGGCUAACUCCGGGCCAGCCGCCGCGGUAAUUC
rnacentral:rRNA from 1 species